rnacentral:other from 1 species
AAGUGUCAAGGAGAUGCGAAAUCUGUUCUCAUAUAAAACCGACUAAAGUGACGAUACGGGAGUUCCGAUCAGUUAUCGGUGUUGAAGACCUUCCACUUAUACGUGGGUAGGGAUCCUAAAGAUAACGUACGAACACCCACCUGUGGAAAUGCAGGUUUUAUCGUUGGGCAGAACGCUCUUCCUUGACUUUUU